rnacentral:tRNA from 1 species
AGUAAAGUCAGCUAAAAAAGCUUUUGGGCCCAUACCCCAAANAUGUUGGUUAGACCCCUUCNUUUGCUA